GUGAAUCAUCGAAUCUUUGAACGCAAAUUGCGCUUCCUGGCAUCCCGGGAAGUAUGCCUGUUUGAGGAUCAGUAUUAAUAAAAAAUCGGUGUAGUUACGAAUUGUGACGUUAACGGAGAUUGGACUAUCUUAACAUUUUUGGUUAAGAGGCUUAAAAUUGACCUAUUUUGAGCAUUUUUACACGUACAUAGAUUUGUUUUAUUCGUAUAUUCUUAAUGCCAAAAUCUGAUUAGAUGC
rnacentral:misc_RNA from 1 species